rnacentral:ncRNA from 1 species
UGGCCUUUUUAUUAACUCCUAGCUAACUUAUACAUGCAAGUAUCCCCGUUCCAGUGAGAAUGCCCUCUAUAUCUAUUAACUGAUCAAAAGGUGCAGGCAUCAAGUUCACUUAUCCUAGUGGCUCAUAACGCCUUGCUCCACCACACCCCCACGGGACACAGCAGUAAUUAAAAUUAAGCCUAUGAACGAAAGUUUGACUAAGUUAAGCUAAAUCUAGGGUUGGUAAAUUUCGUGCCAGCCACCGCGGUCAUACGAUUAACCCCUGUUAAUAAAACACGGCGUAAAGCGUGAUUAAGAGAUAAAUUAAAUAAGAUUAAAAUAUUAUUAAACCGUAAAAAGUCCUGAUAAUAAUGAAAAUCAAAUGCGAAAGUAAUCUUAAAUCGUCUGAAUUCACGAUAGCUAAGGCCCAAACUGGGAUUAGAUACCCCACUAUGCUUAGCCCUAAACAUAAACAUUUAACAAACAAGAAUGUUCGCCAGAGUACUACUAGCAACAGCCUAAAACUCAAAGGACUUGGCGGUGCUUUAUAUCCCUCUAGAGGAGCCUGUUCUAUAAUCGAUAAACCCCGAUACACCUCACCACCUUUAGCAAAUAUCAGCCUAUAUACCGCCAUCUGCAGCAAACCCUAAAAAGGUCUAACAGUAAGCAAGAAAAUUCUACAUUAAUACGUUAGGUCAAGGUGUAGCCUAUAAGGUGGAAAGCAAUGGGCUACAUUUUCUAUUACCUUAGAAAAAUUUUCACGAUAGCUUUUAUGAAACUCAAAGCAUAAGGCGGAUUUAGUAGUAAGUUAAGAAUAGAGAGCUUAACUGAAUAGGGCAAUAAAGCACG